CAGGGUGUAGCUUAGACAGAAAAGUAUUUCCCUUACACUGAGAAGUCGCCCGUGCAAAUCGGGCCGUCCUGAC
rnacentral:tRNA from 1 species